rnacentral:rRNA from 1 species
UACGUAGGGUGCGAGCGUUGUCCGGAAUUACUGGGCGUAAAGAGCUCGUAGGCGGUUUGUCGCGUCGUCUGUGAAAUUCUGCAACUCAAUUGUAGGCGUGCAGGCGAUACGGGCAGACUUGAGUACUACAGGGGAGACUGGAAUUCCUGGUGUAGCGGUGAAAUGCGCAGAUAUCAGGAGGAACACCGGUGGCGAAGGCGGGUCUCUGGGCCACUACUGACGCUGAGAAGCGAAAGCGUGGGGAGCGAACAGG